rnacentral:tRNA from 1 species
CACCAGAUAGCUCAGUUGGUAGAGCACCUGACUAGAGAUUCAGGGGGCCCAGGUUCAAAUCCUGGUCUGGUCC